rnacentral:tRNA from 1 species
GAGGGUGUUAUAAGAUUUGCUAACUCUUU